GACGGAGGGUGCUAGCGUUGUUCGGAAUCACUGGGCGUAAAGGGCGCGUAGGCGGCCCAUGCAGUCGGUUGGUGAAAGCCCGGGGCUCAACUGUGGGCUUGCAGCUGAUACGGGCAGGCUUGAGUUCGGUAGGGGAGACUGGAAUUCCUGGUGUAGCGGUGAAAUGCGCAGAUAUCAGGAGGAACACCGGUGGCGAAGGCGGCUUGCCAGAACGCGCUCGACGGUGAGGGAUGAAAGCUGGGGGAGCAAACCGG
rnacentral:rRNA from 1 species